ensembl:antisense Gm44941 predicted gene 44941
UAAAUUGCUAAAAUCUGGGCUGGUGAGAUGACUCAGUGGGUAAGAACAUUUGCUGCCAAGUCUGAUUUUGAUUCCCAGAACUCACUGCUGGAAGCAGAGAAUGAAUUCUUUAAGAUGUCCUGACUUCCAUACCUGGCAUAUGUACACACUUACACAACCAAUGUAAAAAUCCAAACCAAACCAAACCUACAAUUUGUACCCCAGACACAUAACAUUUAAAGCAGUAAGGAUCUUGUACUGUUUGGAUAUGAGUGUGUGUGUACCAGGGCAGUUGUCAUCAGAUACCCUAAAGCUGCCAUAGGCAGUUGUGAUUUGCCCAGUGCAGAUGCUGGGAACUGAACUCAGGUCCCUUAACUGCCAAGUUAUCUUCCCAGCCUCAAAUCCGGAACUGUUGACAUGGGCUAGGGAACUUACACUAAUGUAAUUACAAAGAUUUGGUUACAUUUGUGUGUGUUAUUACAGAGAUCUCUGUUAUUACAGAGAUUAGAGAGAUAGCUCAGAGGGCUUUGAUUAAAAUGUGCACUCAAAUACAAAAAUCAGCAAAUGUUGUUAUCUUUCCCCUGCAUUGGGGUCUUGACAGAACUUUACAGUAGCAAACAGGCUAUACACAAGACAGAUUAUUUUCUG